rnacentral:tRNA from 1 species
GGAGAGGUGUCCGAGUGGUUUAAGGAGUACGCCUGGAGAGCGUAUAAUCCGAAAGGAUUCGGGGGUUCGAAUCCCCCCCUCUCCG